rnacentral:miRNA from 1 species
ACCUCAUUGAUCGGAAGGAAUUCCUUCCGGUCAAUGGGGUUGUUAUACCUCAUCAACCGGAAAAUCUAUCUGGUGGAUGAGGUAUAAUAACCUCAUUGGCCGGAAGGGAUUCCUUCCGGUUGAUGAGGU